AUGCAAGUCGAGCGGAGACAGUGAGUAGCUUGCUAUGAGCUGUUUUAGCGGCGGACGGGUGAGUAACGCGUGAGCAACCUUUCCCAGACAGGGGAAUAACACACCGAAAGGUGUACUAAUACCGCAUAAGACCACGGGAUCACAUGGUUCUGGGGUAAAAGAUUUAUCGGUUUGGGGUGGGCUCGCGUCCGAUUAGGUAGUUGGUGAGGUAACGGCCCACCAAGCCGACGAUCGGUAGCCGACCUGAGAGGGUGAUCGGCCACAUUGGGACUGAGACACGGCCCAAACUCCUACGGGAGGCAGCAGUGGGGAAUAUUGGGCAAUGGGGGGAACCCUGACCCAGCAACGCCGCGUGGAGGAAGAAGGUUUUCGGAUCGUAAACUCCUGUCCUUGGAGACGAGUAGAAGAUGGUAUCCAAGGAGGAAGCCCCGGCUAACUACGUGCCAGCAGCCGCGGUAAUACGUAGGGGGCAAGCGUUGUCCGGAAUAAUUGGGCGUAAAGGGCGCGUAGGCGGCUCGGUAAGUCUGGAGUGAAAGUCCUGCUUUUAAGGUGGGAAUUGCUUUGGAUACUGUCGGGCUUGAGUGCAGGAGAGGUUAGUGGAAUUCCCAGUGUAGCGGUGAAAUGCGUAGAGAUUGGGAGGAACACCAGUGGCGAAGGCGACUAACUGGACUGUAACUGACGCUGAGGCGCGAAAGUGUGGGGAGCAAACAGGAUUAGAUACCCUGGUAGUCCACACUGUAAACGAUGAAUGCUAGGUGUAGGGGGUAUCGACCCCUUCUGUGCCGCAGUCAACACAAUAAGCAUUCCGCCUGGGGAGUACGGCCGCAAGGUUGAAACUCAAAGGAAUUGACGGGGGCCCG
rnacentral:rRNA from 1 species